AGCGGCGGAUGGGUGAGUAACACGUGGGGAACCUGCCCCUAAGUCUGGGAUACCAUUUGGAAACAGGUGCUAAUACCGGAUAAUAAAGCAGAUCGCAUGAUCAGCUUUUGAAAGGCGGCGUAAGCUGUCGCUAAGGGAUGGCCCCGCGGUGCAUUAGCUAGUUGGUAAGGUAACGGCUUACCAAGGCGACGAUGCAUAGCCGAGUUGAGAGACUGAUCGGCCACAUUGGGACUGAGACACGGCCCAAACUCCUACGGGAGGCAGCAGUAGGGAAUCUUCCACAAUGGACGCAAGUCUGAUGGAGCAACGCCGCGUGAGUGAAGAAGGUUUUCGGAUCGUAAAGCUCUGUUGUUGGUGAAGAAGGAUAGAGGUAGUAACUGGCCUUUAUUUGACAGUAAUCAACCAGAAAGUCACGGCUAACUACGUGCCAGCAGCCGCGGUAAUACGUAGGUGGCAAGCGUUGUCCGGAUUUAUUGGGCGUAAAGCGAGCGCAGGCGGAAAAAUAAGUCUAAUGUGAAAGCCCUCGGCUUAACCGAGGAACUGCAUCGGAAACUGUUUUUCUUGAGUGCAGAAGAGGAGAGUGGAACUCCAUGUGUAGCGGUGGAAUGCGUAGAUAUAUGGAAGAACACCAGUGGCGAAAGGCGGCUCUCUGGUCUGCAACUGACGCUGAGGCUCGAAAGCAUGGGUAGCGAACAGGAUUAGAUACCCUGGUAGUCCAUGCCGUAAACGAUGAGUGCUAAGUGU
rnacentral:rRNA from 1 species